rnacentral:rRNA from 1 species
UGUUUCGGCUAGGGGGCCAUCCCGGCUUACCAACCCGAUGCAAACUACGAAUACCGAAGAAUGUUAUCACGGGAGACACACGGCGGGUGCUAACGUCCGUCGUGAAGAGGGAAACAACCCAGACCGCCAGCUAAGGUCCCAAAGUCAUGGUUAAGUGGGAAACGAUGUGGGAAGGCACAGACAGCCAGGAUGUUGGCUUAGAAGCAGCCAUCAUUUAAAGAAAGCGUAAUAGCUCACUGGUCGAGUCGGCCUGCGCGGAAGAUGUAACGGGGCUAAACCAUGCACCG